rnacentral:rRNA from 1 species
CCUACGGGUGGCAGCAGUGAGGAAUAUUGCACAAUGGGCGAAAGCCUGAUCCAGCCAAGCCGCGUGUAGGAUGAAGGAUCUAUGGUUUGUAAACUUCUUUUAUAUGGGAGUAAAGUGAGAAACGAGUUCCUUUUUGUAUGUACCAUAUGAAUAAGCAUCGGCUAACUCCGUGCCAGCAGCCGCGGUAAUACGGAGGUUGCGAGCGUUGUCCGGAUUUAUUGGGUUUAAAGGGUGCGUAGGUGGUUAAUUAAGUCAGCGGUGAAAGUUAGUGGCUCAACCAUAAAAUUGCAGUUGAAACUGGUUGACUAGAGUAUAUUUGAGGGAGGUGGAAUGCGUGGUGUAGCGGUGAAAUGCAUAGAUAUCUCGAAGAACUCCGAUUGCGAAGGCAGCUUACUAAACUAUAACUGACGCUGAAGCACGAAAGCGUGGGGAUCAAACAGGAUUAGAUACCCUAGUAGUC